rnacentral:lncRNA from 1 species
GGUGGAUGUGUAGUGGGAAGUGAGGGAGCGAUUUUAGGAGUGAAUUAGGGGAUUAUGGGGGAGAAUAUCCAAAACUUGAUCAUUUUUUCCUUUUUCGAAAAAAAAGAGUUAUUUUUCUCUCCAUCUUUCUGACGUUUUCUCUUCCCCAUCUCUACAAAAUUUUUUUCUUCUUUUCUUCUUACUCGAUUAUCUUUUCUUUUCUUUCCUCUACUGCCAAAAUUCCCUUGUUCCCGCUAAACCAUUCUUUCCUCUUGAUUUCGUAG